GUGGGGGGUCCCAGCACCGACCUUCUGCGCCGCUGGCGGGGUGUGUCCUUCGCGCAGGGGGGACUCGGGCUUCCCCCCGAGACUCAGGGGAAAGAGGGAGCCGUUCGGGCUCGUAAAUCAGCUGAAGCUGUCGGAAGGCGGGAGGGCACCAGGAGGAGGGGAGCUCAGUGCCCCCACCCAGGAGGUUUGCUGUGGCACCCUAAGGGUCUGGAUAUGGGCCAGGAAGGAAGGAAGGAAGGGAAAGAGCCAUGCCUGUGUGCUUCGGUCUUUGGCCUCCUCACAGUUGUUUAGGAAGAGCAAGCUUUGUAAGUAGAGUGACUCCCACGUGUUUGUUUUAUCCCCCCUCCCCAAAAUCUUGGUCCAGUAAGCAUCCCAGCCUUCCCUCUUUCCUGAGCUUGUCGUGGCAAUUUAGCCCAGCGAUUGGGAUGGAAUUUGUUGUGAAAUCGGAGCUUUGAACACAUCCUCUGGUUUAAAAGACGGGCUUUAAAGCUCAGGACUGUGCGUUGAUGGCCAGUUAAUAGACGAGUGGUGGCGGCAAGGUUCAGUGGGCUUGUCGUAAAGAACGCCUGUGCCUUUACUGAGAGGAGAAACAUCAAGGGGAAUGACACUUGCAGAGCUCUGGGGCAGCAAGAAUUACACAUCCUCAAUUAGGAUUCCAUUUCCUCCUGCCACUUGCUUUUAGGCAAUUGAGUGUGGGUAUGACAAGAUACCAAACCCCUUAAUGUUUCCUUUUUGGGAAAUGAGGCACCUUUAAAAAAAAAAAAAGGACAAAUUUCGCCACCUGAGCCCAGAAACAGUUUGUCUCUCCAGUUUUCUGGCCUACACUCUAGUUAGCUCUGAUCCAAGGAGGCACAGCCUUGCUUUAAGCCAUGUCCUGUUGUGGGCAAGAAAACUGCCGCUGAGCUGUCAUAGCCUGGGGGCAGGCUGGUCGCACCCCACGGUGUCCCGCUGGGGGAGAUUUCUGAGCAGCUGACUUGACUUUGGUCAUUAGAAAGCCUCUGAGGCCUUUUAAAAUUUUGUUGGGGACCCAUGGGGGAGAAACAUAAAAUGCCACUUUAUAACUUCAAUAAUAGCCUGUACUUUAUAUUUAUUGUGUGAAUUUUUAGUCCUAUAUUUUAAUAAUUUAUAAAUGGAUCUCUUAUUCCAAGGAUUCUUUGAACUUGCAGGAGAACAUCUGGGAAUCCAACCCCCUGUCCCCAUCCUGACCCCUGCAUUCGGGACUGUUGGAUCCACUCUGGGACGGAUCACUCCUAGGCCCAACUGCUGGCCUCCUGACUCUAACGCCUUCACUGGAACUGGGACAUUCGUUCCAGCCCUAGCUGUGAACAUGACCAGAGACAUUAUUUAUAACUCAGCCAUUUAAGAUAUACCUGUACUCAAAAAAGUCUUGUAUAUUUUUUAAAAGUUUUAUUUUUCAGGUGAACAAAAAUACAUUCUAAGAACUCUACGUAA